rnacentral:lncRNA from 1 species
AAGUUACAAUUAUAAUGAAAAAUCAUCAAUAUUAAUAUUAAAUACUACAAGAAAUUCACAACUAUCCCAGGAUUGGUAGUACAAGUCAUGAGUCACUAUGAUUUUGAUUUAUGAAAUUAAUGUGAAGAAUAAAUACAAUAUCUGUUUGAAGUUUACAUAAACAGAAAUGAAGUCCUAAACUACCACAAACAAGAGGUACCUUGAAUCUGCAAUGCUUGUAUAUGUUCAAUGUAAGGCUCCGUCUUCCACAAAUACUCAGCUCUAGAAUCUGCACGCAUGAUGCAGAAAUAUAGUAUGAGUACAACCGAUCUCAUGUAAUCAGUAAGUAUCUUGACUAACCUUAGUGAAGUAGUGACGAGGUUUUUAAGUCAAAAAAUACUCACUUUGCAUAAAUUGUGCAGCUCAAUAACAUAUAUAAUACAGAGAAAUAUUCCAGAAAAGACAAUUACAGAAUAAAGGAUAUCAACAAUAAACGUGCAAAACUGGGGUAGGGAUAACAAACAAACUCUCCCAAUUAAACAAUUCAAGGAUAUACAAUGUGCACUAAACCCGCUUGCAAGGGGACAUGCACCAAAUAAUGUGUAUGCUCAAUUUCUCAUACAUGACUGUAAGCAUGUGCCCAAUAUGAUGCAAAUCUGUAUUACUUUCCAAAUAACAUGUUCAGGUGAACCUUACAAGAAUCCAAUACAUUAAUGCAUGAUGACAAAUUUCCUUUUUACAUCAAUCUAAUAUGCUACCGACAACUCAAUAAAUAUGAGAUAUUAUCUCAACACAGGUAAAUCCAUCUUGACAACCAAACCGUCAAAUAAUAAUAGAAGCAUAGGAAAGCAUGUUAGAUGCAACAAAGACAACACGUAUAAUGCAUGAUAAAGCAUAAAGAAUUCACUUGUAUAAUCAAGAAUGACACCCCCAUAAUCCAUAUUUCAUCACAAUAAUAAUAUCCACUCUUAUCGCUCUGUAAUAUCAAUAUCCACUUGUAUCUCUCUAUAAUAACAAUAUUCACCCUUAUCACUCUGCAAUAACAAUAUCCAACCUUAUCGUUCUGUAGCAACAAUAUCCACCCUUAUCGCUUCGUAGCAACAAUAUCAAUCAUAAUCGCACAGCAAAACCUCGUGCCAACAUCCAAUCAAUCCGUCCAAUAUGUCCAUGUGUGCUAUAAUCAUAAUAAUUCAACAAAUUAUCAUCAAGAGAUAUAUCCUCAUAAUUCAUUAAUGAAGUACAUAAGGACAUGAAAAUAAUAAAAGUGUCGAUGAGUGCUCAAGAUAUAAGACAUGACUAUAGCUAAUUCAAUUAGCAAUGAUUCCACAAAUGCCCGUCUUGCAUAAUUAGGAAAUAAAAAUCCUAAAACAUGAACUCUAGCAUGAAAGGAUAAACCCGUAUAGUCAUACAAAGGAUCACAUUUAUAAUAUAGAGAGCACACAUUCAAUUCAAAGCACAACAAAAAAAUAACAAGUACGGGUAUGUGUUCAUAACAUACAUGUGACUAAGCCGAGGAAUGUAUAGCAUCAAUCUCAAGAUUAGUUCAUCAUGUUCAAAAUAAGGCACCAAUAGCCUUAACAUUAGCUCUAGGGAGGUUUAUUAUGCUCACAUAGUUAAUUAAUUGAAUAACACAGAGAAUCAAGUAGAACAUACAACCCAUAAAGGCAUAGAGUUAUCUAGAAUUCACCCCGAGCAUGAAUACCCAUAGCACAUGUAUAUACGCUCAUCACCUCGUAUAUACAUCAGCCCUGCAUGUAACAAACAAUAUAAAUUAUUAGGAAAAUUCCCUCAAUCAAAGCUAGAUAAGACACUUAUCUCAUCGGGCUAGUCCAAAGCUCCAAAAGUGUUUUUCCUUGAGAAAUCAACUCUAACCGUCUCAAAUCUAGCCAAACAUGUAAUACCCUAUAUUUAAAUUAGGGCAUAUUAGUCGUUAAGUAUUUUUCUUUAAAAAAAUAUAUAAUUACAAAGAGAAUGGGAAAGCCCACUAUGAAGGAUUAAACAAGAAAGGAAGAGGGGAUUAAGAAGGGGGAAAAUGCACCCAAAAGCUUCUUCCGCAACUAAACAUAGAUAGUAUCAAGAUUUAAACCCAUCAAAUAAUUGAAAUAGAGUAGCAAGAAGCUUUGAAGCUUCAGUUAAUUGUGGUAAGUCUCUCAGCUAAAGAGGGGUAAGUUCUCUACGGUUUUGUUUCUCUUGUUCUCUGAUUUAUGGAAUUCCAUAGGGUACCGGAAAAAAGAAUACUAUAGGCAGUGGUUCGAUUUGCUUUGGACUUAUGCACAAAUUGAGUAUCAUGUGGUGUUAAGAAUCAGAUGAAUAUAUUAUAUGAAAGGGUAGAGACAAGAAGAGGAACUUAAGAUGUUUUUAUAUAGCACAAUCAUGAAUGUCCU